UGCAAGUCGAACGGAUCAAACCCCGCAAGGGGCGAGAUGAGUGGCGAACGGCUGAGUAACACGUAGGUGACCUGCCCCGAAGUGGGGGAUAACUCGUCGAAAGACGAGCUAAUACCGCAUGUGAUCACCGAUUCAUUUCGGUGCUCAAAGUCGCAAGACGCUUUGGGAGGGGCCUGCGGCCGAUUAGCUUGUUGGUGGGGUAAUGGCCUACCAAGGCCGCGAUCGGUAGUUGGUCUGAGAGGAUGACCAGCCAGACUGGGACUGAGACACGGCCCAGACUCCUACGGGAGGCAGCAGUUAGGAAUUUUGCGCAAUGGGGGAAACCCUGACGCAGCCACGCCGCGUGCGGGAUGAAGGCCUUCGGGUCGUAAACCGCUUUUCUCAAGGAAGACACCCGACGGUACUUGAGGAAUAAGCAACGGCUAACUACGUGCCAGCAGCCGCGGUAAUACGUAGGUUGCGAGCGUUGUCCGGAUUUACUGGGCGUAAAGCGCGCGCAGGCGGUUCCGAAAGUCCAUGGUGAAAGCUCCCGGCCCAACUGGGAGAGGCCCGUGGAAACUCCGGAACUUGAAGGCGGGAGAGGCAAAUGGAAUUUCCGGUGUAGCGGUAAAAUGCGUAGAUACCGGAAGGAACACCAGUGGCGAAGGCGAUUUGCUGGCCCGUUCUUGACGCUCAGGCGCGAAAGCUAGGGUAGCGACCGGGAUUAGAUACCCCGUUAGUCCUAGCCGUAAACAAUGGGCACUAGGUGUUGUCGGUAUCGACCCCGGCAGUGCCGUAGCUAACGCA
rnacentral:rRNA from 1 species